rnacentral:rRNA from 1 species
GACGAACGCUGGCGGCGUGCUUAACACAUGCAAGUCGAACGGUAAGGCUCUACCUUGGUGGGGUGCACGAGUGGCGAACGGGUGAGUAACACGUGGGUGACCUGCCCUGCACUUCGGGAUAAGUUUGGGAAACUGGGUCUAAUACCGGAUAGGAGCGCACCGUGCGGGGGUGGUGGAGAGUAUUUUCGGUGUGGGAUGGGCGCGCGGCCUAUCAGCUUGUUGGUGGGGUAAUGGCCUACCAAGGCGGCGACGGGUAGCCGGCCUGAGAGGGUGGACGGCCACAUUGGGACUGAGAUACGGCCCAGACUCCUACGGGAGGCAGCAGUGGGGAAUAUUGCACAAUGGGCGGAAGCCUGAUGCAGCGACGCCGCGUGGGGGAUGACGGCCUUCGGGUUGUAAACUGCUUUCGCCAGUGACGAAGCGUUUGUGACGGUAGUGGGAGAAGAAGCACCGGCUAACUACGUG